AUUGAACGCUGGCGGCAGGCCUAACACAUGCAAGUCGAGCGGAUGAAGGGAGCUUGCUCCUGGAUUCAGCGGCGGACGGGUGAGUAAUGCCUAGGAAUCUGCCUGGUAGUGGGGGAUAACGUCCGGAAACGGGCGCUAAUACCGCAUACGUCCUGAGGGAGAAAGUGGGGGUUCUUCGGACCUCACGCUAUCAGAUGAGCCUAGGUCGGAUUAUCUAGUUGGUGGGGUAAAGGCCUACCAAGGCGACGAUCCGUAACUGGUCUGAGAGGAUGAUCAGUCACACUGGAACUGAGACACGGUCCAGACUCCUACGGGAGGCAGCAGUGGGGAAUAUUGGACAAUGGGCGAAAGCCUGAUCCAGCCAUGCCGCGUGUGUGAAGAAGGUCUUCGGAUUGUAAAGCACUUUAAGUUGGGAGGAAGGGCAGUAAGUUAAUACCUUGCUGUUUUGACGUUACCAACAGAAUAAGCACCGGCUAACUUCGUG
rnacentral:rRNA from 1 species